UACGGGGGGGGCAAGCGUUGUUCGGAAUUACUGGGCGUAAAGGGCGCGUAGGCGGUUCGCUAAGGCGGAUGUGAAAACUCUGGGCUCAACCCAGAGCCUGCAUCCGAAACUGGCGGGCUAGAGUUCUGGAGGGGGUAGCGGAAUUCCUGGUGUAGUGGUGAAAUGCGUAGAUAUCGGGAGGAACACCAGUGGCGAAGGCGACUUCCUGGCCUGUUCUUGACGCUGAGGCGCGAAAGCUAGGGGAGCAAACGGG
rnacentral:rRNA from 1 species